CUACGUGCCAGCAGCCGCGGUAAUACGUAUGUCGCAAGCGUUAUCCGGAAUUAUUGGGCAUAAAGGGCAUCUAGGCGGCCAGACAAGUCUGGGGUGAAAACUUGUGGCUCAACCGCAAGCCUGCCCUGGAAACUGUUUGGCUAGAGUGCUGGAGAGGUGGACGGAACUGCACGAGUAGAGGUGAAAUUCGUAGAUAUGUGCAGGAAUGCCGAUGAUGAAGAUAGUUCACUGGACGGUAACUGACGCUGAAGUGCGAAAGCUGGGGGAGCGAACAGGAUUAGAUACCCUGGUAGUCCCAGCCGUAAACGAUGAUUACUGGGUGUGGGCAUGAAGAGUGUCCGUGCCGAAGCUAAUGCGAUAAGUAAUCCGCCUGGGGAGUACGGCCGCAAGGCUGAAACUCAAAGGAAUUGACGGGGACCCGCACAAGCGGUGGAGCAUGUGGUUUAAUUCGACGCAACGCGAGGAACCUUACCAGAUCUUGACAUCC
rnacentral:rRNA from 1 species